AAAGGGUGCGUAGGCUGUGAGGUAAGUCAGCGGUGAAAUACCCGGGCUCAACCUGGGAACUGCUUUGGAAACUGUAUGGCUGGAGUGCUGGAGAGGUAAGCGGAAUUCCUAGUGUAGCGGUGAAAUGCGUAGAUAUUAGGAGGAACACCAGUGGCGAAGGCGGCUUACUGGACAGUAACUGACGUUGAGGCUCGAAAGCGUGGGGAGCAAACAG
rnacentral:rRNA from 1 species